ACAUGCAAGUCGAACGAUGACGGAGGAGCUUGCUCUUCCUGAUUAGUGGCGAACGGGUGAGUAACACGUGAGCAAUCUGCCCUUGACUCUGGGAUAAGCGCUGGAAACGGCGUCUAAUACCGGAUAUGAACCUGGAAGGCAUCUUUUGGGUUGGAAAGAAUUUUGGUCAAGGAUGAGCUCGCGGCCUAUCAGCUUGUUGGUGAGGUAAUGGCUCACCAAGGCGACGACGGGUAGCCGGCCUGAGAGGGUGACCGGCCACACUGGGACUGAGACACGGCCCAGACUCCUACGGGAGGCAGCAGUGGGGAAUAUUGCACAAUGGGCGCAAGCCUGAUGCAGCAACGCCGCGUGAGGGAUGACGGCCUUCGGGUUGUAAACCUCUUUUAGCAGGGAAGAAGCGAAAGUGACGGUACCUGCAGAAAAAGCACCGGCUAACUACGUGCCAGCAGCCGCGGUAAUACGUAGGGUGCAAGCGUUGUCCGGAAUUAUUGGGCGUAAAGAGCUCGUAGGCGGUUUGUCGCGUCUGCUGUGAAAACCCGAGGCUCAACCUCGGGCUUGCAGUGGGUACGGGCAGACUAGAGUGCGGUAGGGGAGAUUGGAAUUCCUGGUGUAGCGGUGGAAUGCGCAGAUAUCAGGAGGAACACCGAUGGCGAAGGCAGAUCUCUGGGCCGUAACUGACGCUGAGGAGCGAAAGCGUGGGGAGCAAACAGGCUUAGAUACCCUGGUAGUCCACGCCGUAAACGUUGGGAACUAGAUG
rnacentral:rRNA from 1 species